AGUCAUGGAAAAGGUUUAGUCUCGUUUAGUCGUUUGGAUCUUCUUUCUUUACCGUUGAAAUUAAAACAAAAAAACAAAAAAACAUGGCGAUCGAGAGUCCAUGAUCGAACCACGUUGCGAGUUGCGAGUUGCGACUUGUAAAGAACGCCAUUGAGUGUGAUUGUGUUUUGAGGGAAGAAUAGUUUCCCACAGUUAGUUAGGUUUCAGACCCACAACACCAACGGAGUACCAAUGUUGAUCAAGAACAGAAAACAGGAUUUGCACUAUUGCUUUCAUCUUCAGAUCUUCUCAUGUCUCUUUCUCACACUCUGGAAUAUUUGGGUAAAGACAGCAAUCGGCGCGAAUACUGAUUCAUUGUAAGACGCAGCUAUGGUGAAGAAACUGGCAGCCUGAAAGAAAUUGACGGUGAUGAUUGAUAUGAAGAAACUAUUGCCGUGGAGCCUUAAGAAUUCGUACUACUCGAGAAGCCCUAUCAAUUCGCCCAGUUGAUUAAAGUUUUGGCUACGACGGAAUCUGAAAAGGCCUUUUGUCAAGAGCAAAACGCAACCUGAGCCUACCUGAGACAAGAAAUUCAGUCAGGGGGCUCCCACAAACUAGUUGACAAAUGAACGUCCUAGUUUUUGUCUUAAAAGGUGCUAAUAUUUCGUUAUAAUAUUUAGGCACCAGCAAAUCCUAUCUGGAAUUUUGCUAUAGAUGAGACUAGACUUUCAGACGGUCGUCAACGUUGAGAAAGAAGAAGAAUCUGAAUCCAAAGUAGAUCCAAAAGAACCAACUACUAACGGUAUACCAAAAGAACUUAUUCCACACGCUCCAAGACUAGCAUUAUUGUGGCUUAUCAUUGUUGACUUACGAAUAAUGGUUUUACUGGUGGAGUCAUCAAUGAAGAAAGCAGUGGUACCUCCAGCAAAUCGAAAUAUUCGUUACCAACCGACGUUAUUUUCAAUUUUGGCAUUGGACGGCCGGCACCAGACGUAUAUUAACCAGUACACGAGCAAUCCACUUGUGGCCAGUAAGCACCAGGCAUCGGAGGAGAAACACAGUAAAUGUUACUUGUCGCUCAAGUUUCCCGUUACCAAACCUUUAUCACCUCCAUCAUAUCAAAGGACUAAAGCAUCAGGUGAUGAAAUUCGUCUUUACGGUCAAUUGAGUUCGACCGUAUCACGAUUCACGAAUUGAAACAUCAACAACGAAACAAUUUGAAACAAUCAAGGUACCAUCAAACAGCGAAGUGCGCCGGCUCACUCGGCCCUUGCGGCACUGACGUACUCUUCUUCCUCUGUCGCCGUCGUUCUGUCUCCGUCACUCGGCCGACGGGCGCCAUCCACCAGCAAAACCAACAUAAUCUCGGUCAGCAUUGUGCGCCCCUGUCUCUUAAGAACUAGCGACGUGUUGAACGACAUUGGCAACAUGCUAGCUGACUGACGGACGAAUUGGGCUCUAUGUUGGAAGAGGAAAGCAGUAACCAGCCCAUAAGGCAGAAAUCCUAAAUGGGGGGUCGCAAAAAGCGUUGUUUGUAAUUAUAUAUAUCUUAACCUGGAUUUUUAAACGUUUGCUGAUCCCCUCCUUUCCCUUGGAGUAAGAAAAACGUUCCGGCCUCCACUUUUUGUUCAAUGCCAGGCAGCUGCGUCAAAGUGCCUAGUUCACAAGCAUGAUCCAUUUGGAUUGAUGAAACAGUUGAUGAACAAGUGUUGGAUAUUCCUAUAUUCUUAUUUCUCCCUUUUUCUUCUUCAAUUUAACACUGGUCCAUCUCGAUGGAAAUGAUUUCUUUUACGUUACGUGACGAUUUUAACUAGUGGUAUUUUUUUUUUCUUUCUCCGUCCUUUUUGUUAUUGCCCGCCCAGCCAACUGAUGUACCUAUAUAAUAUUGUAUGGAAUACAUGUACACGUUUAUCGUAUCCCACUUUUGAGCAGAUAAACGGUGUCUGUAAGCCAACUGCACGUUUUUUUUAUUGAAAAACAAAAACAAGCCCUCCUCAAUAAUCGGACUGGUUUGAACCCUUAUAUUUUUCAUCCAAUCUACGCGUUUUGAGUGUUCCUCCCGUCGUCCUUUGAUUUAUGCUAGCUUUUGAUCUUCACACUAAAUAAAAAGAUUUCUUCAUUUGA